AGAUCACCGUGUUGUUGGAAGGAUAGCUGUGUGUGUGUGUGUGUGUGUGUGUGUGUGUGUGUGUGUGUGUGUGUGUGUGUGUGUGUGUGUGUGUGUGUGUGUGUGUGUGUGUGUGAGAGAGUGUGUCAACAGAUGUUUCAUGGGCUAUGAUUCUAUUAACAAUAUGUGGACAGCAGUAGUAUUAUAUGAUACAAUUCUUAUAACAGAUGUGUUUGUACGUAGUGUAGGAUAAAAGUGUAAUUCAAUGCCUUUGAACAAUGAGGGGUUGUAUAAUUCGGUGCCUUAAUGUCUGUGGAGAAGCAACGCCUCUAUUGUUACACAUAUGUCUGACGACCAUGGCACCCCCCGGAUCCAUGUUGAUUAUGGGGGAGCUGUCUAUGGAAGACACAGGCUGUUUGAUGGCUCCCUGGUACUAUACAGAGUGAUUUGUGAUUGUGUGUGUGUGUGUGUGUGUGUGUGUGUGUGUGUGUGUGUGUGUGUGUGUGUGUGUGUGUGUGUGUGUGUGUGUGUGUGUGUGUGUGUGUGUGUGAGAGACGUAAUAAUGUGCUUUUUAUAUUCUAUCCCACUAUAUUACGAAAACCGACUUUGGUUCACAUUGACAAUAUAUUAGGUGAUAUCAUGAUACUAUUAAGAUAGUUUAGUAAUUUUUCAUCCGUAUUUGGAUCAACUUUAUUUUACCAUUAGUAUAAGGUCUGUCUAUGAUGCGUUGAGUGGGCGUAGGCCUGUAGGACCUACGUGUGCGUGGGUCCAGUACCUAUUGGACAGGCGUCUAUGACGUCGGGGCCUUAGGUGCGAAUGAUGCAGAUAGGGCGUCUUUCAGGCAUAAAUAUACGGGGUCCCGUGAUACGGGAGCGUACGACCUCCGACCCAGACGUUAGCCACACUAUUCUAAGUUAGUAAACGCGUCGCAGCAGCUGGAAGAAAAAAAAAAAAACAUCGAUCCGUCCUGCACAACUAUGCCGACUGACUCGAAUUGCGGUGCCGGAGGCGAGAGCGUGAAACAGCAGCAGGGUCCACGUGGAAAUUUGCAGGAUAUUCGGCUCAACAGACCGAUUCUAGCAGACCAGACUAAUGUGCUGACAAGCGGUAGUUUUGUACCUAUCGAGGCCAAUGUCAUUCAGCGCCCCUCGGAACAAAUCGACUGGCCAAGAAGAAGAAUUUGAAAAGAUCG
ensembl:lncRNA